rnacentral:tRNA from 1 species
GGGCCGGUAGCUCAGCAUGGUUAGAGCGUUCGGCUGAUAACCGAAAGGUCGAGAGUUCAAAUCUCUCCCGGCCCA